CUGUAUGGCCAAAGGUUCUCCUCAAAACCUGAUCUCGUCAGAUCUCAGAAACUAAGCAGGGCUGGGCCUGGUUAGUACUUGGAAGGAGGACUGCUGGGAAUAUCAGGUGUCUCACUGG
rnacentral:rRNA from 1 species